UACGUAGGGGGCAAGCGUUAUCCGGAAUUACUGGGUGUAAAGGGAGCGUAGACGGCUGUGCAAGUCUGAAGUGAAAGCCCGUGGCUCAACCGCGGAACUGCUUUGGAAACUGUAUAGCUUGAGUACUGGAGAGGCAGGCGGAAUUCGUGGUGUAGCGGUGAAAUGCUUAGAUAUCACGAAGAACCCCGAUUGCGAAGGCAGCCUGCCGCAGCGUUACUGACGCUGAAGCUCGAAAGCGCGGGUAUCGAACAGG
rnacentral:rRNA from 1 species